ncrna:unclassified sequences DTF3800-IX RNA
GACCCAGGUCCGAAUUGUCACCGUAUGGUGUGCGUUCCGCUCAAGCGGAUAGGACCUGGGUUUUUU